rnacentral:sRNA from 1 species
GUUCCGAUAAGUGAGGCUACUUCAGGGAUAUGGGCUGCUGCCGCGAAACAAUGGAGACAUUGUCAGAAGGUCUGAACAGUCAGCGUCGAAACCAAGGCGCUGAAUAAUGCAGUUACACCGCCCUGUCGAGCCAAAGCUCAGGCGGUGG